rnacentral:rRNA from 1 species
UACGUAGGUGGCAAGCGUUGUCCGGAUUUACUGGGCGUAAAGAGCGCGCAGGCGGUCGAUCAAGUCGCGUGUGAAAGCCCCCCGGCUCAACUGGGGGAGGGUCACGCGAUACUGAUCGACUCGAAGGCAGGAGAGGGUAGUGGAAUUCCCGGUGUAGUGGUGAAAUGCGUAGAUAUCGGGAGGAACACCAGUGGCGAAGGCGACUACCUGGCCUGUUUCUUGACGCUGAGGCGCGAAAGCUAGGGGAGCAAACGGG